CAGGGCUUGACAUCCUGCUAACGAGGUAGAGAUACGUCAGGUGCCCUUCGGGGAAAGCAGAGACAGGUGGUGCAUGGUUGUCGUCAGCUCGUGUCGUGAGAUGUUGGGUUAAGUCCCGCAACGAGCGCAACCCUUAUUGUUAGUUGCUACGCAAGAGCACUCUAGCGAGACUGCCGUUGACAAAACGGAGGAAGGUGGGGACGACGUCAAAUCAUCAUGCCCCUUAUGUCCUGGGCUACACACGUAAUACAAUGGCGGUCAACAGAGGGAUGCAAUACCGUGAGGUGGAGCGAACCCCUAAAAGCCGUCCCAGUUCAGAUCGCAGUCUGCAACUCGACUGCGUGAAGUCGGAAUCGCUAGUAAUCGCGGAUCAGCAUGCCGCGGUGAAUACGUUCCC
rnacentral:rRNA from 1 species